AUUAUGGAGAGUUUGAUCCUGGCUCAGGAUGAACGCUGGCGGCGUGCCUAAGGUAUGCAAGUCGAACGAUAAGGCCCCUUCGGGGGUACAUAAGUGGCAAACGGCUGAGUAAUACAUAGGAACCUACCCCAGAGUCGUGAAUAGCCUUGCGAAAGCGGGGGUAAUACACGAUAGUUUCCUUCGGGAUAAAAAUUUAUUGCUCUGGGAUGGGCCUGUGGCCUAUCAGGUUGUUGGUGGGGUAAAAGCCUACCAAGCCUAUGACGGGUAGCUGGUCU
rnacentral:rRNA from 1 species